CACUCAUAAAUGUAGAUUCCAAAAGACACUCAUAAAUGUUAAAUUAAAGCAUUUUUGUGUAGAAUUCAAAAAAUCACUGCUUUUCACGACUGUCAAUAAAAAAAGAACCUCAGUAUAACUCCUAAUCCAAUAUAAAAAAAUUAUACAAAAAAAAUCAACAGUAGCAAUCGCAAGAUCCAUUUGACCACCAACAUUUUGAUGACAAGAAAAUGUGUAUCAUUGGAUCCGCAUCUGCUGAUUCUUAUGAACUCUCUUUCAUUGGACCGGAUAAUCGACUAAUAAUGAAGAUUUGGGCGAUGAGUUGGUUUCGAAAUUAUUAAGUGAUAAGUUUGGAAGGCCUUAUCCCACUGCUAUGCCAUUUUCGUUUCCAUUUGAGAGGAAAUGGAGAAUGCAGUUAUGCCAACAACUCCACUCUUCACGUAAUCUUUUUACCUUUGCAAAUUAAGUAAUCAAAUGAUACCCUUGAAGCCUAAUGUUAUUGUUGUCAUACGAACCAAGUACUAACUCAAUUCAUGGUUCCUUAUUUCAAGAGAAAGGGUUAAUCCUGUUUUAGAAGAUGCCAUCAAGAAGAUGUCCAAUGAUAUUCGUAAUUUUUUCAAGUGUUUUAAUAUUGUUUGUUCUCUUCAAUUUUUUGAAUAGAUCGAUAUAUAAUUUUGUUUACUUUAUUUAUUUUUGCAGUGAUCCAUUAAUGUGUUUUGUUGAUUGAGAAUUAUUGAUAUCAAUUAAAGUUAUUCUCAUUUUAA